GUUUAUCUUUAUAUCUUGGUAGUUUAUCUUUAUAACUAGGUAGUUUAUAUCCAGGUAGUUUAUCUAUAUAUAUAUCUAUAUAGUUUAUCUUUAUAUCCAGAUAGUUAAUCUUUAUAACUAGGUAGUUUAUAUCCAGGUAGUUUAUCUAUAUAUAUCUAUAUAGUUUAUCUUUAUAUCCAGGUAGUUUAUCUUUAUAUCUAGGUAGUUUAUAUCUAGGUAGUUUAUAUCUAGGUAGUUUUUCUUUAAAUCCAGGUAGUUUAUCUUUAUAUCUAGGUAGUUUAUCUUUAUAUCUAGGUAGUUUAUCUUUAUAUCUAGGUAGUUUAUAUCCAGGUAGUUUAUCUAUAUAUAUCUACAUAGUUUAUCUUUA
ensembl:lncRNA